GUAGUCUCGCACAGAUGCAUAUCAAUAAGCGGAGGAAAAGAAACUAACAGGGAUUCCCCUAGUAACGGCGAGUGAAGCGGGAAGAGCUCAAAUUUGAAAUCUUAAAGGGUUUCCCUUUACGAAUUGUAGUUUAAAGAAGUGUUUUCUGUUGAGGUUUUGGUAAAAGUUCUUUGGAAUAGGACAUCAUAGAGGGUGAGAAUCCCGUAUUUGACCUUUACUUUCAACUUUGUGAUACACUUUCAAAGAGUCGGAUUGUUUGGGAAUGCAGUCCAAAAUGGGUGGUAAAUUUCAUCUAAAGCUAAAUAUUGGCGAGAGACCGAUAGCGAACAAGUACCGUGAGGGAAAGAUGAAAAGAACUUUGAAAAGAGAGUUAAACAGUACGUGAAAUUGUCAAAAGGGAAGCGUUUGACACCAGUGUUGUUUUUCUGAAAAUCAAUUAAAGAACUGUUUAUGCUAAGCUGUUUAGACUUUAUCAGCUAUCUGUUUAGUUUUGAGCUUUUCUUUAAUGCACUUUUCAGUUAACAAGUCAACAUCAAUUUCUUUUGCUGUAAUAAAGCUUGAGGAAGGUGGCUUGAGAUUCGUCUUAAGUGUUUAUAGCCUCUUGCCUAUGCAGUCGGAGAGAUUGAGGUCUGCAGCGUAGAUCCUUCGGGGCUAAACGCAUUUGUGCUAAGUUAUAGCAUUUUAUAGACAACUUGUUGACUAUGAUUUGUCUUGUAGCUUACUCGCUUAUGUUAUUUUACCUACGCUUAGGAUGUUGACGCAUGAGAUAUACGC
rnacentral:rRNA from 1 species